CCAACAGGGAUUGCCCUAGUAACGGCGAGUGAAGCGGCAACAGCUCAAAUUUGAAAUCUGGCUCUCGGGCCCGAGUUGUAAUUUGUAGAGGAUACUUUUGAUGCGGUGCCUUCCGAGUUCCCUGGAACGGGACGCCAUAGAGGGUGAGAGCCCCGUCUGGUUGGAUGCCAAAUCUCUGUAAAGUUCCUUCGACGAGUCGAGUAGUUUGGGAAUGCUGCUCUAAAUGGGAGGUAUAUGUCUUCUAAAGCUAAAUACCGGCCAGAGACCGAUAGCGCACAAGUAGAGUGAUCGAAAGAUGAAAAGCACUUUGAAAAGAGAGUUAAAAAGUACGUGAAAUUGUUGAAAGGGAAGCGUUUAUGACCAGACUUGGGCUUGGUUAAUCAUCUGGGGUUCUCCCCAGUGCACUUUUCCAGUCCAG
rnacentral:rRNA from 6 species